AAGGUACGAGCGCUUGGUUAACUAAGAUAGAAUUUUUUAAGAAAUCCUGUUAGAUCAUUGCUAAGAUGUAAUUUUAAUUUGAAUUUAAAUUUAUUUUUGAAUUAUUCUACUUUCCAUGACUUUUGUGUGUAAAUUAAGCCGUGACGGUUCAUGUUUCGCAGACAAACCAACUCUGGUGAAAUUGUUAUACAUGUUGGAACUUGUUAUUAUACAUUUAAAUUAUCUCAGCUUGUUUUUUUCAGAAUUGCGUGCUAAAGUAAUUUGCUCAUAGUUCCAGCUGGAUAUUUCAAGUAAAUGUUCCGAGAUGAUAUGGUCCAUAUUGAUGUGAUGUCCACAUUGUAUUUGUUUUCAGUUGAUGGAUUUGUUUUUUUUUUUUAAUGCGCAGAUGCAGGUCACUUCCGAGAUAUGAUCUUUAGUGCGGCAGACGUAGCCGAUCACCAAUUCAUAUGCCUGCUCGUUCUCGUUCAAGGUCAAUAUAUAUAUAGGCAGGGCCGCAGGGGAAGAGGUAGAAGGUGAUCAUCGUCCUACUCUUGUUCCCCAAGCACCCUCAAGCCUUAAGGCUCCUAUGACGAUAUUAAGGAGCCGCAUUCCUAAGAGGUAAAACUGUUUUACUAUUACUUCGCAUUUUUAAUGGUCGUUUACUGGUCUCUAGGAAACAUUUUCUGGAGGAAAGUCUUGGUUAAGGAAAGUUGAGUUUAUCCCCAUUCCUAGCUAUGCGUCUUUGUGUGUUCCAGAAGUAUUCAGUGAGACCUUCACUUAGGCCUUGGACUAGAUAUAUCUUUAUGCAAUUUGUGUCAUUAGGUGUUUGCUGGUCCUUGGGUAAAUAUAUAUACUGUAUGUCUCACACAUGAUUUAACAAAUUGGAUCAACAUUCCCCCAACUAUAAUAUCUCUAUUAAUUGUACGCUCACGUAGUUAUGGAUUUGUGUAAGUUUCUUUUAAUAACAACACAUAACUUCUUGUCUAAUGUCUACUUUUGAUUCACUUUUGAUUCACUUUUGAUUCAAACCGAUUAACCAAUUCUUUAUUUGGUGAAAGUGAAUCCGUGAUCUGACAGCAACAACAACUACCACCACCUUUGUCUUUGUCUUCUUGGUUGGAGUUAAUGUGGUUCAUGAUCUGAUGGUAACAAGUCAGUAGACUCAGUACAUUUAAAUUUCAUUUCGAUGAAUAGCUCUCCUCGUAUUCAUACACAUUUAUAAAAUUUAAAAUAAUAUAUACAGUAAUAUUUUUACAUUUAUUACGUUUUUUUGUCUGAAUGAAUUAAAAGCAGUGGUGGUGGGAUCAUAAUGCAUCUUAUAGCAGAAGGUGAGAUUGAAAGCAGUAGUGGGAAUCAUGCAAUCGACACAUUGGUUCCUUUAUUUAAUUUGAAAGAAAAAAAUGAAGGGACCACACACACUGUUCAUAAGCACAACCACACAUGACACCAAGUUAAAGUCUUAUGCAGAAAACCUCUUCUCUUGUCUCCUAAUGGGGCAACGAUUUUCAUGAAAUAAAUAAAUAGAAAUCUUGAUAUUGUGUUAUAACGAAGUUAAGUUUCGAUGAUACGGCUAAGUAAGGUAUUCUUUGGAGAGCAAGAAAGAGUGAUGGCCCAACACAUCUUUUAAUUAAACCGGGACCUCUCAGACCUAACUCUUUUGAUCAUUGUGAUUGUGAGUUCCAAUCCAUUUGGUAGAUCCAAAGAUGUAUUGGUGCAUUUGAUAAAUAUCCAAAGAUUAAUAGGAUGUAAUAUGUUAGGUCACGAGCUCCUCCUGUAUGGACCAUAGUACAUGUGAUAUGUAUGCAGUAGCAAAGUCCCAAACAAUUAAUUCAAACACAUGCCUUCAGUGGAAAGCUUUAAGCCUCUUUUGAAUUGUUGUAAGAUAUAGGUGUGUGAUAUGAUGUUGGAACAAAAGUGCAACUAAAGUCACCAAUUUCAAAAAACUUUGAAAAACGAAUAUUAAUGACUUAGUGCAUAUGAACCGAAAGAUAUAUGAGUAUGGUAUAUAUUUCACAAAAGCAAGAAUUCUUUCUUUAUAACAAAUUGAAUUAUAGUGGUGCCUUUAAGGAAAGAUGAAGUUUCUAGGUAAGGCACCCUUUAAGAUUCUUACAAUGGUUAUGGAUUUAUUUUCUUCUUUUGAAAUGAUGAUAUACAUCACAUGAAUACACACCAGCACCAACUUUAAGUUGAAUAAAAAGUUAUUUUAAAGAGGAAAGAAAGGAUACAAUACAACAAAGUCAAGGUGCAAUGUCACUUGUUCUUAAUCAAAGAGGAAACCACAGUUCAAGACUUUUUUGUUCUUUGGAUAGACACUUCAUAUUACAAAUAUUACACUUUGAUUAAUUGUAUGAGAUAGACACCCAUUAGUUAAUGUCUCGUUACGAUGUUAGUCAUCUCAUAAUACACAUCAAACUCGCAUGAGGAUCAAUAUCGAUCUUAUGAACCAAACACGUAAAUCGUGCACCAUGCCUACUCUUUUACUUUGCAAAAUCUACUUUUCCAAAACUGGUAUUUGUAAAAACAAAUUAAGAUGGUGGAGAUUUGAAUGCUUCUAAAAGACAAAGGCAUAUUGUUUUAACUUUUAAUGCGUGGGAAAGAAAAUAUAACAAAGCACAAAAAUGUAAAGAAGAAGUAGGAAAAAAGAGAGGAAGGACAUAUAUCAAAGUAGGAAUUAAUUCUUGUGCGUCACUUUAUAUCUGAUAUCAUCUUCAGGGACGAAUAUGUCUCCAUCUCUCUUUCUUCAUCUCUUGGGUUCUCUGUGUUUUUAUUAUACAUAAGGAUUGAUGCUUUAAUUUUUAGUUUAUUUUGAU